rnacentral:lncRNA from 1 species
GCUAUAGGGCGGCGGCGGCUCUGCCAUCAGCACCGCCUCUUCGUAACACGGUGGUUUGGACAUGUCCGAUUCCGCUGCGGAGUGGGAGGCGGUCGGAGGAGGUGAGGCCGCCGGUUCCCAGCCUCUCGCAGAGGCCCCGGCCAGGGGCCGCCCGCGCCCCAGCCCUAGCCCGAACCCGAGCCCGCCGCCGCCCGUGUUCUCCCGGAGGCUGCGGAUGGAAGCCCUGAGGGUAAGCAGCGAGCCCUCCAACGCCCGCCCACUUCCGGCGGCCCGGAUCGCCCCCUGGCGGAGGUCGGUACUCACCUUGGCGCGGGUAGCUCCAGGGCCGUGGCGGCACCGACAGGUGCGUAGGCGGCGGGUGCGGGAGCGCGUGGUGGUGCGGGUGUGGGUGCGCGUGCGCGUGCGGCUGCGCGGGCCCGUGGUGCAGCAGCGGGUGCACGUGCACGUGCGGAUGCGAGUGCGCGUGAGCCGGCGCCUCCAGGCGGCUACGGUGCCGCCAGCGUCACUCGGGGACCCGCGGCCGGGGGCUGCCCGUGGCAGGUCUCAAGUCGUGCGCGCGCCGGCGGGGGACAGCAGCGGCGCCCGCUCCUUCCCAUGGCGCCGGCGGGCGCGCGGGCGUGCCUCACCCGGGGCCGCGCGGGACCUGUAGGGCAGACACGGGGCGCAGUGAAGGCGCGCCGCGGCCCCCAACGACUUCCCGGCCCCCGCCCGCGCCCUGCGCAGUCCGGGGAAAGCCUCCUCCGUGGGAACCUCGCGCUCCCCGGGGGCCCGGUGACGUCACCGAGGAGGGUGACGUCACGCCUCGAGGUUUCCCCGGUAGGGUUUCCCCGAUCUGAGCCCCGGCCGCCGCCGCGGAGCCCGGGCGCCGAGGGGAGCCGAGGCGGGCCAGCAGGGGGCGCGCGAAGGACGGACUCCAGCUCUGAGUCCGAACGAGAGAUUCGCCAUCCGCAGUCCCGGGGCCAAAGGGUUUCAGGAGCCUGUGCGCACCAGGUCCCUGAAGAGGCGUCUCGGCGCCGUUGCUGUGCGGCGGGGAAAGGGUGGUACAUCUCCUAGAGCCCCACAGACAGCCACCCGACGCCCUGUACAGACGCCUGGCAGCCCCUGGCUGCCCAAAGCCCGGAACAACUGGCUCCGCACCGCGCCCUCCGGGUCUCCCGCCGCUCCCGUAGGGGGGCUCAGGCGGGUGGCUCCGACUGGUAAUGCGUGCCACCGGCCCUGCCUUUGUCUGAGCCUAGCGCGCCGCGCCGGGCGUGGGCCACACUCUCUUCCUUUCCUCCAGGCGCCCUGCCUGCUCCAACUCCGCUUCCCCGCCUCCUGCCCUUGCACAGCCCCACUUGGCUCUGCCUCUGUCUUCAGGCCGCCGUCUCCCUUUCCCUCUCGCGGAGGGGAGGAAAACUAGAUGAGGGUUGGAAGCUAGUCUUUCGUACCCACCUGGUCCUGCACUCACUCCAGAUGGGCAUCUCUAGUUCCGCUUCCUCCUCUCCACAGCUGCGGGUGAGAGGGGGAACCUUGCACCCUAAGAGGGAGGUAGGAGGGAGCCCUGACUCUGAGAGUGAAGGGUGGCAGGUGACUGCUCACCGCCCCCACAGAACAGAACUGAGCCUUUCCUGAAUGCCUUAUACACACAGGUUUGAACGAAAGCCUUUGGGGUAACUGGAAUGAUUCCUAUUUUACAGACGAGGAGUUGGGGGAACAACUGGCUGUGUAGAUGGCAGGUGGUAGCACCAUAAUUUGAACCCAGGCCUGGCCACAAAACUCUAGCCUGAGUGGGGUGGGGGGUAGCGCUGCCUGGGCUACUUUGUGGGCCUCUUCCAGGAGCCCCACGGACCCUACCCUCCGCGUGCCCGAGGCACACACACACUGCUUCGAGAGCCACAGGGAGCCUGAGCCCCAGGCUGGGGGGAAGCCAGGCCAUGGCCACCCCACACUUCUCCCCAGAUGGCUCCUGUCUGACUCCAUGGCUGCCUUCAGCCACGUGCCACUUGGUGCCCUUGCCAGUCCCCUUCUCCUGGGCCUGCGUUCCAGAACAGACAAUGGCAGGAACCAUAGCUCUGCCCGCCCCCUCGACAACCCUGCCAUGAGGCUGCCAUGGUGACGCAGCCCAGAUAAAAACACGAUGCUGCCAGUCACUGGGAGUUAAUUACAUCUGUUAUUCUUUUCCUGAGCCAUCAGGAAUGCUCUGAGGAAACUGGCACUAACUAGAGGUCCCCCGGUCUGCCAGGCAGGAACAGCUCUGGGUCAGAAAAGGUAACUCUGGGGCUGGAGGUGAUGGGGUUUAGCUGAAUUAGAAAUAUCUUUCAAGGACCACGCAGAAUCCUCUCUUCAACACCACCUUGUCUGUGGUGGUUGUGCCCAUUUGAUAGACAGGGAGAUAGGCUCAGAGAGGGGAAUGACUUGCCCCAGGUCACACAGCUCAGAAGGGGAGGAGCUAGGAUUUAGCCUGAGUCUGAAUCCAAACUCUGUGCCAGAUGUAAGUGGCAGCCAUGGGGGCACUGGGCAGACAAGCCAGCUAGCAGCCAAAAUGCAUUCCCAUCCCUUCCCACCAGGGCCCUGGCAUGCCUGAUCACCAGCCCGACUCUGCUGUGGAAUAGCAGUGUGAGAAAGAGCUACAGGAUGAAGGGGAGAUGUAAUGGCAGCGCCAGGUUAGCAAGAGACAAAAGAGAGGGCCCUCUGUGCCCUGAGGGCGCCCAGCUCAGCAGGUGGGGCAUUAGGCCAUACAGGGCAGGCCACGCCCAGGACCUGCUGGGUGCCGUCAUAGCUGCAUUUUAUAAACUAGGCAACUUUGGGCCAAAGAGAGGAAGGCUCUUGCUUAAGGUCACAUAACUAGCCCCCUGGCCCCAACCUGGCUCCACCCCCAGGUGGAGUGGGUAGGGAUUUGACACUGAACGCUGUCUUCUCGGCAGUGCCACAGCAGGCCCACGGGACUGGAAUCCUGUCUGAAGCCUCCCUCCCAGGUGCUCAGUAGACUCUCAUCUAACCGACCAUAGGUGCUCAAUACAUAAACAUCAGAGGUUCAUUCAGACCUUUCAAAAUGCUCUACCUGACCAGGCCAGACUUGGCAAAGCCUCCCGAAAAAACCAUGCCCCCUUACUGCUCCUUUACUAUGUGAGCUCUUGCCCUUGUCUGGGAGCCUUUCAGACUCAGAGCCUGCCUGCAGCCUGCUGCUCCCAGCCACUCCCUCCACUGCCCACACUGCUCCAGACUGGUAGUAGCCAAUACGUGCCUCCUCCUACCUACCCAACACAUUCAGGUGCUCGGAGCGAUGCCCUGCAGAUGGACCGAAGUCUGCCAUUUGAUUACUCACGUUCUGUUUCCUGUUUCUCUUUUCUUACUUUCUUGAAGGUUAUUUGAACAUGUUUUAGGGUUGCAUCUUGAUUUAUCUGUAGUGCUUUUGAACCAUAUCGCUCUGCAUGUUUUCUCGGGCCACACACUCACUGGGAGCACGGCAGGGGGAUGAAAGCGAGACCCUUGGUGAGUUUCUUAACCUCCAAGUUGCCUCUGUUUCCUCAUCGGUGAAGAUGAAGCUAAUCAUGCAAAGGGUGUGGAGGUACCAACAGACAUUAGCUCUGAUGAUGGUGGUUUCUGAGCUGAGGAUGCAGACAUGUGUGUGUCCCCAGGGUGCUCCCUGCCUGAGGGUGGGCUCCACACUCACUCUUCGAAGCAGGCUACAGGGUGCUCCCUGCCUGAGGGCUGGGCACCACAGUCACUCUCCGAAGCAGGCUACAGGGUGCUCCCUGCCUGAGGGCUGGGCACCACAGUCACUCUCCGAAGCAGGCUACAGGGUGCUCCCUGCCUGAGGGUGGGCUCCACACUCACUCUCCGAAGCAGGCUACAGGGUGCUCCCUGCCUGAGGGUGGGCUCCACACUCACUCUCCGAAGCAGGCUACAGGGUGCUCCCUGCCUGAGGGUGGGCUCCACACUCACUCUCCGAAGCAGGCUACAGGGUGCUCCCUGCCUGAGGGUGGGUUCCACACUCACUCUCCGAAGCAGGCUACAGGGUGCUCCCUGCCUGAGGGUGGGCUCCACACUCACUCUCCGAAGCAGGCUACAGGGUGCUCCCUGCCUGAGGGUGGGCUCCACACUCACUCUCCGAAGCAGGCUACAGGGUGCUCCCUGCCUGAGGGUGGGCUCCACACUCACUCUCCGAAGCAGGCUGGCAUUCUUGUUAGUUGGCAGAUGAGAACACUUGGCUCAAGGAGCUUAAAUGACACCCAAGGGCACACAGAGCCAGGGCCUGGCUGCAUUGCUGUGGGCACCUCCCACACUGCCCUGUGCACACUUCAGCCUUACAGGCCAAAGCACCAAAGAUCUGCUACUGGGUCCUUUAUCUCAGCAAAGAGCCUACCAUUCCUUCCGUCCGCCGCAUCCUCUGCAGGGUGGCAUUUGUCCACUUCCUUUGGUCCUCCUGCCACUGCCUUGGCCAGGCCAGCAUCGUCUCUCCCCUGGCCCCCAUCACCAUGCUUGCCACUGUGCUGUGCCCCUGCCCAGCCUAGUCACUCCUCACAACACUACGCUGCCUCAGGAGCCAAUCUAGCAUUUAACAUGGCUUAGAUCUGGGCCUCUCAAAUUUAAGCAGGCAACAGAACCACGUGGAGGCUGUUAAAACAGUGCUGGGCUCCAUUCCCAGUACUGGAUUCAGUAGGUCUAGGAUGGGGCCCGAGUUUGCAUUUUAAACAAAUUUCCAGCAGAUGCUGGUACUGCAGGGCCAGGGAGCACACUUUGAGAACCACUGACCUAGGUGCUGGCCUCCCGAAUGAGCUCCUGCCAAGGCCUCUGGGGCUCACCUGAGCCACCUCACCCCUCAGGGAUGGGAAGCCCAAUGAUGCCAGGAUGUUCCGGGGUGGCCAGGGCCGAGCACCAUCGGCCUUACCAGCUGGCACCCAGUAAUUGGCUCAAGAACCACCUAUGGAAGGAGAUGCUGGAGGGCUCGUUACCUGGUUGGUCUUUUAGCUGUGGGACCGGGGGAGUACCUCAAGGGCUGGCUCUGUGUCCAAUUCAUUCCUGGGAAAUGUCAGCCAUUCACCAAAACGUCACUCAGAGAAGAGCCAUCACCCAGCCCCCGCCUGGCAGGGCAGUUCAUAAGCAAGUGGAGACCCCAUGUGUCUACGUGAAUCAAAGGAAAAGGCUGUACGGAGGCACACACCAGGGCUCUGGGGGGUGGGGAUGGAAAAUCCCGGGCAGCAGGGGCACUGGGUCACACCUGGACUUGAGGCUAGAGCUGCUGGUCUUCAAGGGAAGGGACAGGAACUCAGAGCAGGGGGUGAGGGCUGGGGGGCAGGACAGACUGACAGCCUGUCCUGUGUGCCUUGCAUACGCCAGGCCCACUACUGGUCUCUAUGCUAGUUAUCUAAGGAAAACUCAGGAGGUGGCUGCUGUUCUCUCUACAGACAAGGAUGUAGGCUCAAGGAGUGGGUCCAGCUCAGGUCUCCAUAGCCAGGUGGUGUGAAGCCCGGGUGAUGACAAAGUCCUCGGUCCCGGCAGCAAGGGCAUUUCAGGGAGCCACUGGUGACACCCUUACACCCUUCCCACAUCAACACAGAGGAACUGAGGCCAGAGAGGACUUGACAGGACUUGUCUCCACUCCCAGUCAGCCAGGCUUGGAGCUGGCCAGAACCGCCCUCCGCCUAGGCCAGGGUACUGAGUGGCAAGCACCCUUGCUUGCAGGUAGAUGACCUAACCCUGACACCAAGCCAGGAACCCAGGGCUUGGGAAACUACAAAUAAGACCACAGAGACUGAGGCCUCGGUGGGCUUGUAGGUGGAGAGCCCUCCCUCAGGCCAGUGUCUACUGCGCUCAGCUCCGGCCCUCCUCAGGGCAGGGUUUUCAGAGACCAGGUUCCUCCUCUGAAACCUCAGCCUGUGGCUCUCUGUGCCUUCAUCCCCGCAGCUGGCAUGGAAAUAAUGAUCUGACCUCCCAGGGGAGGCGGCCCCACGGGCGUGAUGGUGACACCCUGUGGGGGGCAGCCUGGGUAACAUGCAGAGUGCCGAGGGGUAGGCCUGAGCUCAAAUCUGGCUUCUGCCCUCACCGAGCCAUGUGAUCCCAUCCUGGCUACUCCCAUACCUGAGCUGGAGUUUCUUCAGCAGUAGGACCAGGGUGCCGAGGGGACAACAGAACUCCCUCUGAUGAGGGAUCACCCUGCAGCCUCAAGAGGCUCAAAUGCAGAAAGCAGCCCCUGGUGUCACAGUGUACACAGCCUGGAGGCGGCCCAGCAAAACCUGCGGUCCCUUUCCCACGGACCAGAGGUCUCAGACACAGGACCCUUAGGUUGGACACAGUUCUCAGACAUGUUUUAAAAACAAUCCAUGUUCACAAUCCAUUUUUAAAAACAUUCUGAUUAAUUGCCAACAUUUAAAAAUCCAGGAGAUUUUAUAUAAAGGUCUGGAUUUCUGGUUCAUCUUGAAAAUUGGACAGUCAGGUCAUACCAAGUCCACAUUUCACACAGUGACAAAGAUUGGAGCUGAGCGGCUCCCUGGCCCGCCUCACUCAUUCCAUUUCCCCCCUGAUCCUUGGAAGCAUGUGGGUUUCCAAUGCCUGGAGCUAGACUGAGCACCCACAGGCUGCAGCAGUGCAUGGACCCAUCUUUGCUAAAUUUUCUCUCCCACAGCCAAGACUGCAAGCUGAGCAGGCCAUGGAGCCCAUGAGCCGAGGACCAGGGCUUGGGGUUUUCCCAGGGGACUGAGGCAGCCCUUUGCUGCUUGGUCUCACCGGAGAAAAUGGAGGGAGGGAGGAAGUGAAGAAGGGAGGGAGAAAGCUGGCCCCAUCCUAUAAUGCAUCUGGGGGAGCAAGAAUGUGGCUGAUUUAGCUGGAAGAAGGAAAAAUGUACCAAGACCCGAAAGACAGGGAAUGUCCUCACUGGAGGAAAGUGAAGGAAGAAGGCUCUACAGUUCUUCUCCUGGGUUACAAGAGAAGUUAGCUAGCAGGCAGAGAGGAGCUUUGCCCCCAGAGAAGCCUGCAGUGUAGACUCAGCUCUGCCACUUACUGGUAGUGUGACCUUGGGCAAGUCACUCACCUCCCUGAGCCUCCCUUUAGAGUCUUCAUCUCUAAAAUGGGGAUAAUAAACUUACCUUGCGCAACUGUUGUAAAAAAAAAUUAGGAGAUAAUGGAUGCAGAGCACUCAACACAGGUCUCACAGAGCAGGAAGGGAAUGAAAGGCACCCGUGAGUAAUUCCCCAGGCGCCCCUGCCUGCAGGAGACUCAGGCCUGACCUCCAGGGCACCACCCAUCUAAGGGCAUCUUAUGCCAAGGCCUCCAAUGCCCCAGAUGCCAGUCACCUCUAGGAUGCCUCCCCGGAUGGGAAAGGAAACCCAAGGACGGUUGUGGUCGCUGGGAUCCUGGAUCUGAAGCCCGCGGUCGGGGCUGGCAUCUGCUGAGUCAGGCCUGGGAGAGCUGGCAGGAGGGCCAUUUCUCUCUCCAGCAUGAUGCCCGCUGAGGGGAGGUUGGGAGGGGAGCCAGAGGUCAUUUCCUCUGAGUCAGAGGCCAUUCUCCUCCCAGAGGAGCUCCCCUGGCGGACCAGGCACCUCCAUGUGGCGCGUGCCUCCCUGCCGGCCAACCUGCAUGCUACUCAGUACAGUUGGGGCAUUGUGCUCAGACAAGAAAGGGGCACUUGUGAUCCAGACAAUGGGCUGGGUCGCUCCCAUUUGGCCUGGGCUUCAGCUUCCCUGGGUCAGCAAUAUCCUUUCCUCUGCUCCUGCCCACUCUGCUUCCACCCCUCCCUGGAGAAUGGUGGCUAGGAACACGGAGCAGAGACUCACCGCGGGCCCAUGCCCGGUUUGGCACGUGCCUCGGCCGUGAGGAGGAGGAGGGAUGCAAGCUUCGCUCCUCUACCCUGGUGCCCAGCAGGCGUACACCACCACAUGCCUACUAGGAAGCCACGGGGAGGAGGACCUAGUGCCGAACCCACAGCCCUGGCCUCCGUGGACAUGCCUCCCCCCUACCCCAGCAGGGAACAGAUGACCCCUAGAGAGCGCCCCACUGUCUACCCCGAGGUCCAAGCUUGCAGAGGCCACUCUGAAGUUGGCUGUCCAUCGGCCUCUUAACUGGGCUGUUUUUCGUCCAACUUCUCUACUGCACUUAAGAUGAUUUGCCAAAAACCCCUCCACCACCAUAUUAGCUGGAACAUUUGGGGUUGAAGUGACAGAACUCCCAAACAAAUAGGUUUGAGCUGUACCCCGUCUCUACCAAAAAAAAAAAAAAAUCUGCACGCCUGUGGAGAAUCGCUUGAAUCCGGGAGGCAGAGGUUGCAGUGAGCCGAGAUCACGCCACCGCACUCCAGCCUAAGGGAGGGGGUGAGACCCUGUCUCAAAAAAAAAAAGAGAAAGAAGAAAGAGAAAGGACAGAAAGAAAGAAAAAUAAAAGAGAAAGAAAGAAGAAAGGAAAGAAAGAAAAGAAAGAAAAAGAGAAAGAAAAGAAAAAGCUUUGAGCUCAAAGGGGACUGGUUCAUGCAACUGGCAAGUCCCAGGGUAGAUUCUAGCUUUGGUCACAGUUGCUUCCAGGUGUUCCCGCAAUGGUGUCAGGCACGUAUCUGCUUCUGUUUGCAUCACUCUCAGGCAAGCUCACCCCAAGAAGUAGCGAGGACAACCCCAACAGCCCUAGGCUCAUAUCCUGCCAUCUAUCCCUGGAGGAAAACGGAACCCCAAUUCCUUCCCCAUCAUUUGAGCAAAAUACAAGCAAACAACUCCAUGAAUGAUUCUUUUUGGACUCAUUUGGGCUGAGUCUCUAUCAGUGAACCAAUCUAAGUGCCUGUGUGUUAAGGGAGAGGAUAUGUGCUCCUUAUGCAAAGGGAAUGGCCUCCCAGUACCCGCUCCCUUUUCUUUGUAUACAGGCACCCUGAUUUCAAUGGGGGAAUCACUGCCCCACGGGUGCCAUCCUGGUGAAACUGUGAACCCAAGUGCCCUGCUCCCUGACAGUGCACAGCAGGCAGGUAUCCAGCCUGGCCACUCAGACUCCUUGAGUUUGCAACUGGGCUCAAAGAGGCAAAACCAAAUGGCUCUAUCAUCUUGGUUCUGGUGGGUGUCUCCUGAUGAGAAUGGAGCCCACAACUAAGACCCCGAAGCUCCUCCAUAUCCUUGGAACACCUUCUAAGUUAGCGGGAGGACAGUUCUGUCACUUGCAACAUUCCCACCUGGCUCUCUCACUCUAGGUAUGUGUGUGGAGUAUGCGUGUGCAGGGGGUGCAAGCCCAGCCCCGUCUAAACCACAUGGACAGAGACUGGGGGUGCUUUUGUACAUGCUGGAGCAAACACCCCAACACAACCAGUAAAAACCCUUCAGGGAAUCCCCUACCUUCCAGAUGAGGCCCCAUCUGGGCCUUAACCCUGUGAUCCUUAAUCUAGCUUUCAAAGCUGGCUGUGUCUCACUGACUUCAGCUCCAGCCAUUCCUUGCUUCCACCCCUGGCCUCCCAUGCUCAGCCAUCCUAAACCACUAAAGCCCUAGACCAUCCAUCUGGCUCCUCUACUUGGGUACAUCUGACCCUGUGUCCUGGAGGGCACCAAUUCUGACACCUUCAGGGUCAAGGGGCCUCCCUGUUUGGUGCUGCCCCACCCCCAACCCUGUCAGCUCUAGAAUCCUCUCUUCCACAGUGCUGAUCACACUGGGUCCCGCUGUUCCCACGUCUGCCUCCCUACCAGACUGAGCUCCAAGCUGCCAGGGGCCUCGUCUCCAUCUGGGUCCCAGUUCCCACCAUAGAGCUGGGCAUGGAGGACAGCUCAGGGAAGCUUCUUGGGAAAUGAAUUCUGGGAGUUCCCUCUGCCAAGGACCCACUGUGUUAAGAGCUUUAAGGUGAGUUUAACCCUAGCCAAGAAGUUCCCUGGAUGCCUCCCUAGCCCAAGGGGGAGCUGGCCAGGGUGUCCUGAUCCAGGUGCAGGCAGAGUGCCUCAGGGUCCUGCACAUCCACCUGGCACGCGCUCUCUUGCAUACCUGCCCAGGGCUGGGCUUUGGUAUGACAUGCUAACACCUACCUAAAAAUCCCCCACUCCCACCUCAUAACAGCCUGGGGCAGAGGGGCAAACCCACCCCAGGCUCCUUUCUCAUGAUACAUGGGUAGGAUCCAGCUUUCCCAUCAUUACCUGGUUUCCUCCCCACCCUGCAAUGGCCACUUAACCAGUUGGAAGACCUUGAGCAGGUCCCCACUCCCCUUACUUCCCUUAGGUUGGUGGGAAGCAGCAGGCACUCCACAUGUCAUGAGUGGGGCCACAAAAGGCCCCUUCUGCCAGGCUGCUGGCUUGGCACCUUCUGGCUGUGCUUAAGCCAGGUGGUUAGUUUGGUACUCAGCACCACUCCCCAGCAGGUGGGAGUCCUGCGGUGGCUUGGGAACUCAAGGGGCUGGCUGGCUGCUUUGGUGGAUUCUCACAGCUGCCCAGAAAGGUGAUGGGUCUUACACCUACCUUUCCAUAUCAGGGAAGCGCCUGUGCAGGGCCAACUUGAAAAGUGGCCAGGCUGGGGCUUGAACCUGGAACUGUCAGCUACAAAGCUCACAUGGCUCCUGCAGCACUGGGUGCCCAGUCCAGAGGCCAGGAACAAGCUUGAUGGGGCUUACGGGGCAUUCUCAGGGAGCUGGGGACACUGGGAGUCUAUAGAGCAGUGAUGGGGUUGCCAGAUCUGGGACAGACUGGUAGGCAACAAGCUCUCAGCCCCAGAGCCCAGGCAGGAAGCUCCCCUUGAGUGCCUCCCAGUCCCCCUUCCUCCCAGGUGAAUGUCCACUUCGAGGCCGGCUCAACCACCGUCUUCAGAGAACUCUCCCACACUGGCCACAGCCUAUCUGCCAGCGUCACCCACUGUCUAGGUCUUUGCCCAUAAUGUGUCAAGGGCAAAACAGAGGGGUGGAUAUGAUGCACGUGCCUCAGCCCGGGGCCCGUACAUGGCUGGCGUCCAGCUGGGCCAGGGGAGCAGGAAGACCCCUGGAGCACCGGAAGCAAGAAAGAGGCAGGCAGGGGCGGCUAGCCAGGUUUGUGCUCGGACUAUUCACACAGAGACAUGUGGCAGCUUACGUUGGACAAAACGAGUAAUAAAAAUUGGCUUUA